rnacentral:rRNA from 1 species
AAGAAAGUAAUUAAGGGCGCAUGGCGGAUGCCUUGGCUCUCAGAGGCGAUGAAGGACGUGAUAAGCUGCGAUAAGCUUCGGGUAGGUGCAAAUAACCUAUUAUCCGGAGAUUUCCGAAUGGGGCAACCCACUGUACUGAAGGUACAGUAUCCUUUUAUAGGAAGCGAACGGGGUGAACUGAAACAUCUUAGUAACCCUAGGAGAAGAAAACAAUAGUGAUUCCGUAAGUAGUGGCGAGCGAACACGGAUUAGCCCAAACCAGUUUUGUUACGGCAAAGCUGGGGUUGUAGGACUACGUUGUGAUAGUUUAAAAUAUAGCAGAAGGUGUCUGGAAAGCACCACCAUAGAAGGUGAAAGUCCUGUAAGCGAAAUAUUGAUGACAUCUAGUAGUAUCCUGAGUAGUGCGGGACCGGAGAAAUCCUGUAUGAAUCUAGCGGCACCAUCCGCUAAGGCUAAAUACUCCUGAGAGACCGAUAGUGAACAAGUACCGUGAGGGAAAGGU